GAUGAACGCUGGCGGCGUGCCUAAUACAUGCAAGUCGAGCGAACAGACGAGGAGCUUGCUCCUCUGACGUUAGCGGCGGACGGGUGAGUAACACGUGGAUAACCUACCUAUAAGACUGGGAUAACUUCGGGAAACCGGAGCUAAUACCGGAUAAUAUAUUGAACCGCAUGGUUCAAUAGUGAAAGACGGUUUUGCUGUCACUUAUAGAUGGAUCCGCGCCGCAUUAGCUAGUUGGUAAGGUAACGGCUUACCAAGGCAACGAUGCGUAGCCGACCUGAGAGGGUGGUCGGCCACACUGGAACUGGGACCCGGUCCAGACCCCUACGGGAGGCAGCAGUAGGGAAUCUUCCGGAAGGGGCGAAAGCCUGACGGGGCAACGCCGCGUGGGUUAUGAAGGUCUUCGGAUCCUAAAACUCUGUUAUUAGGGAAGAACAAAUGUGUAGGUAACUAUGCACGUCUUGACGGUACCUAAUCAGAAAGCCACGGCUAACUACGUG
rnacentral:rRNA from 1 species